rnacentral:rRNA from 1 species
GACGAACGCUGGCGGCGUGCUUAACACAUGCAAGUCGAACGGAAAGGCCUGCUUUCCCUUGUGGAUUGCGGGUACUCGAGUGGCGAACGGGUGAGUAACACGUGAGUGAUCUGCCCCCAACUUGGGUAUAAGCCUGGGAAACUGGGUCUAAUUCCCGAUAGGACUGCAGGGUGGUGCCUGUGGUGGAAAACGAUUUUCUAGUGGUUGGGGAUGAGCUCGCGGCCUAUCAGCUUGUUGGUGGGGUAAUGGCCUACCAAGGCGGCGACGGGUAGCCGGCCUGGGAGGGUCGACGGCCACAUUGGGACUGGGAUACGGCCCCGACUGCUACGGGAGGCAGCAGUGGGGAAUAUUGCACAAUGGGCGGAAGCCUGAUGCAGCGACGCCGCGUGGGGGAUGACGGCCUUCGGGUUGUAAACUCCUUGCGACCGCGAGGAAGCCACCUGGUUGGAAGGGUGGUGACGGUAGUGGUAGAAGAAGCACCGGCUAACUACGUG